rnacentral:tRNA from 2 species
GGCGGGAUAGCUCAGGUGGUUAGAGCGCAGCACUCAUAACGCUGAGGUCGGCAGUUCGAGUCUGCCUCCCGCUACCA